CCUCAGUAACGNCGAGUGAAGCGNCAACAGCUCAAAUUUGAAAUCUGACCGUCCCGCGGUCCGAGUUGUAAUUUGUAGAGGAUGCUUCGGGUGCGGCGCCGGUCUAAGUUCCUUGGAACAGGACGUCAUAGAGGGUGAAAAUCCCGUACGUGACCGGCGACCCAGNCCGUGUGAAGCUCCUUCGACGAGUCGAGUUGUUUGGGAAUGCAGCUCUAAAUGGGUGGUAAAUUUCAUCUAAAGCUAAAUACCGGCCAGAGACCGAUAGCGCACAAGUAGAGUGAUCGAAAGAUGAAAAGCACUUUGGAAAGAGAGUUAAAAAGUACGUGAAAUUGUUGAAAGGGAAGCGCUUGCAACCAGACUUGCUUGUGGGUGAUCAGCCGUCCUUCUGGGCGGUGCACUCGCCCGCGAUCAGGCCAGCAUCGGUUCGGGCGGUUGGAUAAAGGCCCCGGGAAUGUGGCUCCCUCCGGGGAGUGUUAUAGCCCGGGGCGCAAUGCGGCCAGCCCGGACCGAGGACCGCGCUUCGGCUAGGAUGCUGGCGUAAUGGUUGUAAGCGACCCGUCUUGAAACACGGACCAAGGAGUCUAACAUCUAUGCGAGUGUUUGGGUGUCAAACCCAUGCGCGCAAUGAAAGUGAACGGAGGUGGGAACCCUCAAGGGCGCACCAUCGACCGAUCCUGAUGUCUUCGGAUGGAUUUGAGUAAGAGCAUAGCUGUUGGGACCCGAAAGAUGGUGAACUAUGCCUGAAUAGGGUGAAGCCAGAGGAAACUCUGGUGGAGGCUCGCAGCGGUUCUGACGUGCAAAUCGAUCGUCAAAUUUGGGUAUAGGGCGAAAG
rnacentral:rRNA from 1 species